rnacentral:rRNA from 1 species
AAUGAACGCUGGCGGCAUGCCUAACACAUGCAAGUCGAACGAAGGCUUCGGCCUUAGUGGCGCACGGGUGCGUAACGCGUGGGAAUCUACCCUUAGGUUCGGAAUAACAGUUGGAAACGACUGCUAAUACCGGAUGAUGACGUAAGUCCAAAGAUUUAUCGCCUAGGGAUGAGCCCGCGUAGGAUUAGCUAGUUGGUGUGGUAAAGGCGCACCAAGGCGACGAUCCUUAGCUGGUCUGAGAGGAUGAUCAGCCACACUGGGACUGAGACACGGCCCAGACUCCUACGGGAGGCAGCAGUGGGGAAUAUUGGACAAUGGGCGAAAGCCUGAUCCAGCAAUGCCGCGUGAGUGAUGAAGGCCUUAGGGUUGUAAAGCUCUUUUACCCGGGAUGAUAAUGACAGUACCGGGAGAAUAAGCGCCGGCUAACUCCGUG